rnacentral:rRNA from 1 species
UACAGGGGGUGCAAACGUUGCUCGGAAUUAUUGGGCGUAAAGCGCACGUAGGCGGUUUGUUAUGUCGGAUGUGAAAGCCCUUGGCUCAACUGAGGAAGUGCAUCCGAAACUGGCAAGCUAGAGUAUGUAAGAGGGUCGCGGAAUUCCCGGUGUAGAGGUGAAAUUCGUAGAUAUCGGGAGGAACACCGGUGGCGAAGGCGGCGACCUGGGACAAUACUGACGCUGAGGUGCGAAAGCGUGGGGAACAAACAGG